GAUGAACGCUAGCGGCAGGCUUAACACAUGCGAGUCGAGGGGCAGCGCGGGAUAGCAAUAUCCUGGCGGCGACCGGCGGAAGGGUGCGUAACGCGUGAGCGACAUGCCCGUUGCCCGGGGACAACCGGUGGAAACGCCGACUAAUCCCCGAUGGGAUAUUGUGCCGCAUGGCACGAUAUUGAAAGUUACGGCGGCGACGGAUUGGCUCGCGUCCGAUUAGCUUGUUGGCGGGGUAACGGCCCACCAAGGCUGCGAUCGGUAGGGGUUCUGAGAGGAAGGCCCCCCACAAUGGGACUGAGACACGGCCCAUACUCCUACGGGAGGCAGCAGUGAGGAAUAUUGGUCAAUGGGCGGAAGCCUGAACCAGCCAUGCCGCGUGCGGGAAGGAGGCCCUAUGGGCUGUGAACCGCUUUUGCCUGGGGGCAAUAAGGGCGUCGCGCACGUCCGAUGAGAGUACCAGGCGAAUAAGCAUCGGCUAACUCCGUG
rnacentral:rRNA from 1 species